GACGGAAGGUGCAAGCGUUGCUCGGAAUCACUGGGCGUAAAGGGUGCGUAGGCGGCCGUGCAAGUCUGGCGUGAAAGCCCCGGGCUCAGCCCGGGAAGUGCGCUCGAAACUGCGCGGCUCGAGUGCCGGAGGGGAGAGUGGAAUUCCUGGUGGUAGCGGUGAAAUGCGUAGAUAUCAGGAGGAAUACCGGUGGCGAAAGCAGCUCUCUGGGACGGUACUGACGCUGAGACGCGAAAGCGUGGGGAGCGAACAGG
rnacentral:rRNA from 1 species